GGGUUGAUAAUGUAUCUAGCAUAUCUUUUUUGCAAGAAGAAAGUCACCAAUCCAC
rnacentral:tRNA from 1 species